rnacentral:rRNA from 11 species
AAUUAUAACCAAAUACCUUGAAGGCAGCAGAUCCUGUUUGAGCUUGGAAGCAAAGCAGGAGCAGCCCAGAUUAGAACAUGGAUGGGAGACUACCAAUGAAUACUGUAGGCUCUAUUUC